UACGUAGGGCGCAAGCGUUGUCCGGAAUUAUUGGGCGUAAAGAGCUCGUAGGCGGCCAGUUGCGUCCGCUGUGAAAUCCCGGGGCUUAACCCCGGGCGUGCAGUGGAUACGGGCUGGCUAGAGGCAGGCAGGGGAGAACGGAAUUCCUGGUGUAGCGGUGAAAUGCGCAGAUAUCAGGAGGAACACCGAUGGCGAAGGCAGGUCUCUGGGCCACUACUGACGCUGAGAAGCGAAAGCGUGGGGAGCGAACAGG
rnacentral:rRNA from 1 species